rnacentral:lncRNA from 1 species
UUAUUUUAAGGAAUUGCCGCAGCCACCCUAACCUUGAGCAACCACCACCUCAUUCAGCAGCCAUCAACAUCGAGUCAACAUCCUCCACCAGCAAAAAGAUUGACUAGCUGAAGGCCCAGAUGAUUGUUGGCAUUUUAAAGCAAUAAAGUAUUUUAAAUUAAGAUGGUGAAAUGACUCAUCUCGUCCACUGGCCGGCAAAACAAAGGAGACAGAAGAGGAGCUGUUAUAAUCCAGAUAAAAAUGGACGACGUUUCAGAGACUCAUCUUUUCUGAAAAGACUUUUCUUGUCCACAAAUGGCUUUGAUGCUAAUACCUUUAUUUAUGCCUGAUGGGAAUAGAUGAGAUCACUCAGGAAGAAUAUGUCAUGUGAAAACAGAACUGGUUUGUACAGGACACAAAGGAAGCAGUGCCUGCCGGGGAGAAGGGAGAGGAGUGCUAGAGAGGGAGGAGAGAGCCAGGAGAAAGGCCAAGGGAUAGCUGUUUCUACAUGCAGAGCAUGGAAGUCACCAUCCUCAGUGGGGACCUUUCUCAGACAAUCUAUUCUUCCACCGUUCUUGAGCAACCAAGAUAUUAAAAAGGAAGACUUGAAGUUUCUAUGCUGCUUGACCCAGAAGUUUCUCAUUAUGGAUGUGGGGUUCUUACUUUUGAAGCCUACUGUUUGCCCAGGGCUCAUCGAACUCUCUUUGUGUUGUCUGUGGGAAUUGGAGUUUGAAGACCUGGUGCAAGAACAUGCUGAUCCUCUGGUCACUGCUACUUCUAUUCAAGUUCUUAGUCCAGAUGGGGACAAGGGAAUGGUAGAAAAAACAGAAUUUGAGAUUCCUAGAACCUAA